rfam:Nicotiana attenuata strain TT scaffold34942, whole genome shotgun sequence.
GGAUGCGAUCAAACCAGCACUAACACACCAGAUCCCAUCAGAACUCCGAAGUCAAGCGUGCUUGGGCGAGAGUAGUACUAGGAUGGGUGACCCCCUGGGAAGUCCUCGUGUUGCAUCCC